UCCCUGGCAGUUCAGUGGUUAAGACUCUGCACUUCCACUGCAUGGGGCACGGGUUCCAUUCCUGGUCAGGGAA
rnacentral:tRNA from 1 species